rnacentral:lncRNA from 1 species
AUCUCAUUUAAAUAUCUUUAAAUUUACUCAACUUAUUUUUUUUUAAAUUUCAAUACAAUACAAUGUUUCAAAAUUUAGUAAAAUAUAAAAUUAUCCAAUAAAAUUUAACAGCUAGAAUAUAAAUGCAACUGUUCAGUAGCCAUUGAUCAACAACACCAGUUUCAGCUUCAACCAGAAACACUAUCUAUUGACUACGAGACAGCAACCAACAACGC